UCUCAUUAAGAAUUUAAUAGAAAAUAUGGGCUCACACUGAAGCCCAAAAUAAAUAAAUAUAGCAGUCCAUCUACAAAAUAAUACCGUUAGGCCCAAUUGAGGAAAUAAAUUAGCCCACUAUUAAAAAAAACAAUCAGCCCAAGGUCGGCCCAUAACACUUAGCCCAUUUCAAAAUAAAAGGAUGGCCCAAUUCCCAUUCCUAUUUUCCUCAACACGGCUGAACAUCAGCCUAUCUUUUUCUCAAAUCACUCUUACUCUCCUCUCUCUCACGCAUAACACAGGACCGCGCAGCCAUCAUCUUCUUGCGGCCUCCGCCGCGAAUGACCCCGACGAGAUCAUGUCCGAUUGAGGGCGCCGCUGCUCUCAUACGAUUCACCUUCCUCAGUCUCGACGAAGCAACCCAACCGAGCCCUAGGUUUCUUCGGCUCAGGCGACAUCGCCGCCACUGCCUGGGCUCGAUCACGCUUCAGAAAUUCCGGCGGAGUCGACGCCGCUCUUCGGCUUUGCCGUCUCCUGAAAAUCGGCGUCCCUCCUCUCACUUCACAGAUGCGAGGCAGAAAGGAGGUGAGCCCUAAUUUCCCAAAUCAGAAAUCGCCUCCGCCGUCGUCACCGGGCAACCGGCGAGCGGGGUCGCUUCUGUCGCCGUUCUGAGGUCCGACGAGGUCGGCUCCUUCCGUCGCUGUCGGUGCUAGGUGAAGGCACCGCGAACCGCCGCCGUUGCUCUUCCGAGCGAUGGUGAGGCCGACGCACCAUCGUUCCUCCUCUCAAUUCCGCAAUUUCAGAAUACACAAACUCAAAAGAAUUGAGCCCUAGUUUCUCUUUCCACAAGGCGUCGCUGCUCUGUGAUUCGGCGAGAGUCAUCGUCGACCUGUCAUCGCAAAACGCCACUGCCUUACUCGACUUCGGGCGAGACAGUAAAAGCUUCACCAUCGUUGCUUCCCCUCAGUUUGACAGAACAAGAAGUCACCCCUCUCCCGGUUUACAGAAACAGGUGAACAAGAAUGGUAGUGGAGGAAUUAAGACAAGGCUUACCUCUUGAAGAAGUGCAGGCAGCAGCAAAUCAACUCUCUUUCUCUCUCUCUCUCUCAUUUCUGGCUGGCUAAAGGAAAUGAGUGAAGGGUGUUUGCUGGCUGAAAUGGUAAAGGAUAUCGGAGGUGGUGGUUGGCUAAAGAGAUAGGGCUAGGGUGGCUGAAAGACCUCCUAGGUGUACCUUUGGCAUGGUUGGUACUGUAUGGAGUGCAGAGAGGGAUUGGCAUGGUUGGUACUGUAUGGAGUGCAGAGAGGGAUGGGAGCUGCUGGACAGCAGUUGCCCCAGUGCAUAGGCACACGUUUCUUUCUUCCAUUGCUUUCUUUUUCUUCCUUAUUUCUAGCUGAUGGUGUAAUAGGUGGGUUGUAGAAGUAGAAAGUUGUAAAGUGUGAUGUGAUAAAUAAAAUCCUUCCAACUUGGUAAA